UCCAUUUAUUAUUACUUGGUGGUUGCGGGGGGAUGUGGGACAGAAUGUUUUUAAAUGCAUUGAAUUAUUGUACAUAUGUCUCUGGUAGCCUCCCACAGCAUGCACAGAAAUUUGCUUAUGAAUCCUAGCCAGAAGGCUCACUCUUUAAUUUCUGCUGUAGUUUUCACUGUUAAAAAUGCUGUGUUUAUUUUCAUUCUUUCUGUGAAGAAAAGAGGGAAAUCCAUGGUUAUUUUCCUUUUUCUGCACCCUCAGGGUUCAGGAGGACAGGUAGAGGCAGACAGCAGCACCUUUGUACAGCUCUGAGGAAAACUGCUCCAUCUGACUGAGCAGGAAUAGUUUGGGCUGUGUCAGGACAGUUUGUUGGGGCAGGCUGUGCUUGCUGUUGCUGAUGACUGAUCAGAGUAGUUCUGCUAAUGCCAACUCUUCACAGGAACAACUGGGAAGUAAAAUACACAUUUCUCAGCUGCUUCUAGUACACUAUGGCAGGUGGCAAAGAGGCAGGCAGUGACUCACUGAAUCGGCUUUGAGCACCAGAAAACACUGUGGCUACCUGGAGAUCUGUGCAGCAUUGUUUUGGCAACAGUAUUUUUAGAGGAAGGUGAAGCAAUUGAAGGUGCUUGUUCGGUAAUCUUAUAACUAAAUGAAAUCUAGACUGGAAAUCUAGACUCUUCCUUAGUUCUUAAUUUCUCUGGGAAUAGAUCACAAUCCAGCAAAAGAACUAACAUUUAGACAUAUUAAUCCAGAAAACUAGUAUUUUUUAACUGCUUUGUUUUUUUGAUCAGUCUGCCAAGAAAAUAUUCCUAAGGUAAAUACAUUAAAGUUCCCUGCCUGAAUAGUUAAAAGAGUUAAUGAAUUUUUAAUAAAAUAUUAAAGAGGAUUCCAGCAGCCUGCUUACUAGUUAUAUGUUAUAAAAUCAUCAACUGGUUAUGUCUCUGAGUUUAUUUGUGACACAUGCUGAAGCUGUAAGAUGCAGAAUCACAGGGUGGCUGGGUUUGGAAGGGAUCUCUGGAGAUCAUCUAGUCCAAACCAGCUGCUGAAGCAGAUUCACCCAGGGCAGGUUGCACAGGAUUUCAUCCAGGUGGGUUUGAAUACCUCCAAAGAAGGAGAGGGAUUUACAUACCUACCUCAUGAGGGCUUAGUAUUUAAGUUUUAGCCUGUAAAAAUUAAAUUUUUUAUUACUUCCUUUAAAAUAUGCUCAUGUUACAAAGGACAGCCUAGCUAUCAAAAGAAAACUAUGCCAAGUGAAAUAUAGGGAAAACCAAACUCCAUUACUUUUUAAAAAUCACACUGAUUUUAUAAAAUUUAUAGUGAUUUUCUCAAUGACUUGAGGACAGGUAGGCAAGCUAUUAAAUGCAGUAAAAAAAUUUGAUGUUAUUUGAUAUUUAAUUCCCUGGAGAAGUUUUCAUUUUAUAUCAAGCUACAGACUGAAAUAACACAAAUUAGAUCAAGCAAAAAAGCCUUGUGAAACCUGUCCUUAAGUAUUUGUUUGUCAUAUGAAAGACCCAGACUGCAGAUUAUUCUGCAAGGCUUUCACAUAUUGCUUUGCUGUGACACUGAUAGAACGAUGGAACGAGUGGCCAUAUGUCAGUUUCUGACAUUUAGACAGAAAGAGUAAAAAUAAUAACUAAAAUUAAAAAAUUGAUGAAGCAAGAGACUAAAAAACCCCAACAAAAGUCAACAAACUGGGAAGGAAGCUUUUCUUCCCAUGGCAGAUAGAAGCAGCCUGGUGAAGAUUUUGCUGAAGGAACAAUUUUUGACUUUAGACUGGUAAUGUGACCUACAGAACAUCCCUGAGGAAAGUGUCUGUAUCAGUGGCUGUGACAGCCUUCGAACUGAACACAGAGGAUUUUAGACUUGUGGCAAUUCUGCAGAGAAGUCCUUGUGUGAGUUUGUAUUUCUGCAGGUUCCCCAUCUCAGUAUUGCCUUGUAGCAAUGAGAAGCUGAUUGGUACUUCAGUUUUCCCCUGGCUCUUGAACAUUCUCCUUAAUCAGUAUAACAGUGUUAGUUUUAGUUAUUCUACUAUUAUGCCCAAGGGAAAAAAAAUCAAGGUUUUUCUUGAUGCUGUCCUUUCAAGACUGCUCAUCUGCAUUUCCCAUAGUGGGUUCUGACAUUUGGCUGGUAUAAGUCACUGUAGGAUCAUUAGAGCAGAGUUUCCACUGGUGAAAAUUGCCAUGCUUCUACUGAGGGCUCAUAGGCUGGUUGAUGGGACCUGAGGGGUUUUGCCUGCAAUGCCAGCAGAAUAACACAGUGCAUAUCAGGAGGGGGUUUGGGACAGUAGAUGCUGAUCACUGUUUGAAGAACUGCCUAUAGAGUGAAAGAUAACCUUUCAGUAAAUAAGAAAAAAAUAAAACCCACAUUCAAGGAAUCUGAAAGCAGAAUAUCUUUGCCUUUUAUUUUUUUUUUUUUCUGUUAUGUAGAGCAUUCCCUUGUGGGUCAACUGCUUUCCCUUCUUACUGGUUUAAAUUUACCUCUCUCUUUCCCUGGAUUAUACACCAUAUAAUUUCACAGCUGGAUUAAGUCAGGGGCAAGGCUGCCCUGCUCAACGUGCAAAUAACCAAACUGAACUGUUAUCUGUCUGUCACUUUAAUUUUGCUAGAGGGAAUUGCCUUGGAGCCAUGGCACUGGACUCAGUAGCUGGCCAUGGCUGCUGCAGGAUCUUUUUUUUUUGUUUUUAUUUCUGAAGCCCUAAUGAGAAUAUUCUUGUAAGAAAUGGCAAGAGAUGAAAUGACACCUAGGGUCAUCAGUGGUGGUAAAAUGAAGAAUAUGAAUUGCUAUAUUCCUGAUAUUUUCCAUACAUGAUUUUAGACAGGAGGAAAUGGAAUCCUGGCUUUCUUGCUUAUUUUGCUGUCUGCUGUCAUUCUCUGUUUAAAAAAAAGGCACUGAAGACUCUGAGAAUGUCAUGGAGGAACUAACUUGACAAGUCAAUUUGUUCUUAAGAAUGUUGUAAUUACUGUGAUGGAGACUAAUUGAUUUACAAGGGACAUGGGACCUGCAGCACUGAAAAAGUAAAAAACUGUAUAAUAGGGUAUUGAGGGUGGUUUUUUUUGCUCUGGGCAGUUUUGGGACUGUCCCAUGACUUAUCUCCAGGUUAAUAGUGAAACCAUUUUUGUCAUCUUUAAAAUGAUCCACUAAUUGUAAUAGAUGAAACCAGAGCUGAUCAAUAUUUUUGGCAAGCAGAUACUCAAUUGAAAAAAAUCUGGUAUUGGACUUCUUUUCCUAUUUUGAAGUAACUUUUUGUUUUGCAAGUUACUUCGUUAUUCCAUGAUAAGAUAUAACAGAAAAUAUUUUCUUGAAACAAAAUUAAGUGUUACUUGUGUUUUUUUCAGACAAUUUCAAAAUUCUUUGGGUUUGUUGCAGUUUGGAACAUUAGUUUAUUUUCAAUUCUCAUUUUUCAAUAUAAUUGAAAUUCCAGUUUCCUCUCUGCAUGGUUGAGAAUAUUUUUGUCCAUAAAAAUAAUUUGAAUUCAUUAACUAUUAAUCAAUACAACUAUUAUUAACUACAAUUAAUUCAAGAGGCACUUAAGUAUGAAUAGCCACAUUCUACAGAUGGAAGAGGAAAGAAAAAAACAUUAAUAUCUUUGUUCAAGGCCAUAUAAUUAUACAAGAGACUGAUCUCAAGUGCUGUGCUCAAAGAGACAGUACAGCAUUUCAUAUUCAGACAUGAGCAGAAUUCAACAAAUGAAGAAAUGAAUAGCUGUAGAGAAUUUCUCUUAUUACCCAAAUGAAAGUAAAGUUAAGGAUGUUUCUCCUGGCUUUUAUAUAUGGGAAACAAAUUACACAGUUAAAUACGAAUAAUUUUCUUGACCUGACAGAAUUUCAACAGAAGAAAAUAUACCAUAUUCAUAUUGAUUGAUGAAUCAACUUAAUGCUAGGUUUGAACUUUCUAUUGUUGAAGAGAAUACAUCAUGCUGUAAUUUAGUCUGAGUAAGAAAAGAAAAUAUUGGUCUAAAAUUUAAACAGCCCUUGAAACAUGUGGUGUUGGUCUCUUUUCAAAUUUGAAUGAUCAAAAUAGCAUUUGUCAGUAAUUCUUUACAGUAAUUAGUAUUAUUCCUCACUUAAGGAAGUACCACCUACUUUGGGGGGUAAUGUUAUCUUUUUGUGUUCAGACAUCAAUCAAAAACCAAGCUUAAAGAAAAUUCCACAAUUUUUGCCAAGAACAGUGCAAUUUAAGACUUUGAAUUCCAGAGCAUAUUUUUGCAGUGUCAGCUUGAGCAAUUUCAUACUGUGGUUUUUGUCCAUAAUGCCGUAAGAUUUAAUUUAUAUUGGAAAAAAUUUGACUUAUUACAUGUGAUGGUGUUGUGAAAUCUCAUGGUAGGAGUGGAAUCCAGUCAUGUCACCACCAUAUAAAUCUCUGAAACAGGGAGUUUGUAGUAGUAACUGCUAUAUGUGUUUGAGCCGAGCACUGUGAUCAAUUGUUGGGUGAUGCCAAAUUGAGAACCAUGUAUCACUCUAUUAGUUGAGGUAGAAGAGAAAUAAAUGCAUAGUAAAAGACCAUUAGAAAAGAUACAUUCAGUAUAAAUGAUCUAGUGCUCAGUUAAGUGAAUAAGAGAGAAGCUAGCAUGUAGGCAAAGGAGAUGUACAACUUUGAAAGGCCAAAAUUUAUGAUGAUAAAAGAAGUCCCAGAAAAAAAUACAAUAUGGAAUAAUAGAAGUAAAUGAAGAUAAUUAGUGCUAAGUGAGUGUGGUGUAGCUGGAAAGUAAACAGAGAGUUGAGAGAGGAAAAAAUGAAUGUGUUGCUGGUCAAAUUGUUGGCAGCUCUCUGAGGCAGUACUUUUGCAAUAGAUUAAUUUAAACCUUGUUAAUGGGAUAAUCUCUCAUGCUAAUACAAAUUAGCUAUUUAGGAAUUACUGAAGCAGCUACACUGGAAAGCAUGCAACUUCCCUUUUUUUUUAACCACUGCAUUCAAUAAGGGGAAGGGGAAUAAAUUAUCAUAUUUACAGUUUUCUGGAAUAAAGUGGGACCUACAAAGAAAGAUUUUGGGUUAGAUUAAUUUUACAAACUGGAAAAUGUAAUUUUAAAAGUAUUUUUAAACUGUAAACAUCUGAGUAAUAUGAAAUCUGUUUGAAACAGUAGUUGACCACUCUUAUUUGAAUCUGUCCAACAAGACAGUGCUGUAUUUUGCAUGUAAGUCUAUUGCUAAAUCUAGCAAUGAAUGAAUAAUUUUCCAUGGCUAAUUGAAAUUUUAAAGUAGUCAUAACCUACUUUUAAUGUAAUGUUAAAAAAAAAAACCAAAAAACCACCAAACCCAGCUGUGUAUCACAGAGUGUGAUCCAGGCACAGAGGAGAUGUUGGCGAAUUGUGGUUCUUGGAUGAGAUGACAGGAGGGAUAAGUGAGACCCUGUGGACUGGGUGAAUUUACUGUGGCCUCUGGGGAAGGAUGGAGCAGUUGGGUUAUUGUGCCCAGGUGGGGCAGGGGAGGGCUGGAACAUGGGCCUUGGGUUGGGCGUGUGAUGAUGAAGGAGCUCUACUUGGGUGGGUGUCCCUGUGUGAGAAGCCCCAGGGAAACAGGACAAAGCCCAUGGGAGGUGUGUGCUGGGGGCUGGAACCUGCUAGAAACCCUCGGAACAUGGCUAGGAAGGUCCUUGGUGUGGCUCCUAGGUGUAUUUGGAGAUUCAGAAGGAGCUUGGCAGCCUUGAACUGUGGAAAAAGGGGAGUGUGGUGGGAAGGAAAAGCAGUGGUAGAGGAGGAGGGCUGCUUGUCUGAAUUCUGUAAGUGCAUCUGUUCUGCAGCAUUGCCCCAGGGGGCUGUGCCAGGCAGGAGUGACUCCUUAGCAGACAGGUAGGUGGAAGGAGUAUUUUGGAGAAAUGCAAAUGGUGUGAAGCAGAUUCCUGGGGUUAAGUGCACAGCCAGGAUAUACACCAGCUAGGCAAAAGAAGCACUUGCUGUUCAGAGACUCUUGGGGAUUCAAGUGAGGCUGUCUCUCUUCUCUGCUUUGUUACACAUCUCCUCAUCUCUUCCCCCUCCCAUUUUUUUUUUCCAGUCAAAUAUGAGUUUUUCUAUCUUCCUCCCUUAAAAACCUCCCAACCUCCGUGCUACCCAUCACAUGCCAUUUUUAUGCUGCCAUGUGAAGGGGCAGGCUGUCUUUCCCCCCCAAAAUCCUCAGUUUUCCAAAUUGUGUUGAUGUAUAUAGGCCCUGCAGGGCUCUUAUGCCUUGGAAGACAUUCAGGGUUAAAUUCUCUCCUAUGCUAUAAUCCUAAUUAUGCUACCUUUCCAUGUUUUACCCAGGCUCAGACACCUUGGUGGCUCAGACAUCUGCUCUGUCUGCUGAUGGAUAGCCUCUACCAAAAGAGAAUUUCAGAGCAGGAUGUGUUGCUGUGUCCCUGCCUGGUGUUGACCUUCUCUGUAGGUUCUACUUGAGGCUGUUGAGUCCUGUUGACUCUUCUUCUGCCCUCCAAAUGUUCAGAUUAGUCUUUCUGCUAAGUCACAGAUAAGUAAGGAUGUUACUGAAUUUCAGGGCUACUUCUUCAUAGCUUUGAAAAGCCUGACAUGAUUUAUCAUUCUGUUAAAGAGAGAAUAGUAGUCUACAUAAGCUAUUCAAUCUGUAUCAGGCUAAAAGAAUUAAAAGGCUGAAUUACAUUUUCAGUGAUAAUGUAUGGUGAUAGCCUUUGUCCAAAGAGAGCUAAUUGAAUAUAUUAGAGUCUGAAUUAUUUCAAAAAGCUGCUGUUAGAGAGAGACUUACACUGUGUAUAAAGGGAGGCAUGUUCCAGAGGCAGGGAUCAGUUACUCUCCCCCAUUCAGCACACUUGUAUCGAUCUGAGGCAGAAAGUCAGAUGAGAUGACAAAGAAUAUUUAUUUGAGCAGCUAAGUGGUUGCUCUGUAGUCUAUUUCAUAUUAGGGAUAGAAUUAGAAUUGGAAAAGAUGGAGAGGUAUUAGAUGCCAAUAACAAUAAUAUUAUUUGGGUGUUUUGCUUCUUUGAGAUAAGUAAACAGCUUAUGGAACUGGCUGUUGCUUUGAAUCAGAAGCACAGGGAAGCAGACUGUUGUCUAUCGGGGGUUAAUUUUUUAUUUGCUACCAGAGAAAGUGUGAUUUUUUUUAGGUUGCUUAUGUGUCAUCUUUAUUUUUGUUUUUCCUCUCAAAGUAAAAUGAAAAUAGAGUUUGUUUCCUGUUUUUUUUUUUUUUCUGAGUGUGCAUGUAUGCAUGCAAGGCAAGCAUGGACAUAGUUUUACAAAUAAAAAAUCAGCCUUCCUCUCUCUUCCCACACCCUGUGCUCUAAUACAUGAAUUAUUGCUGUUUCUCCCCCAGCUCUAACCAAGCUCACAGAUGUCUGACUAAAAUAGGCUUCAGGGGUCUAGAGAUCUGUUUUCUUCAGUGCUGCAAACCACAGCAGUAUCCAGAGGGCUUAGAUAUUGAUUUUGACCUGUGCACAUAACGCUAUCUCAUCUCUUAGUUGCUAAAUAUGGACAUCUGUAGGAAAGGUCAUGUUCUCAGACCUAAUUAAGAAGAUCAGGAGAGACAAAUGAUGGAAAUGUGUAGUCUUAAUGAUGACCUGACAGGGCUGCCAGGUUACUGCAGAUAGGCAGAGCCAGGUUGUGGCAUGGCUGACUUCAAAUAAAGUGUCAAGAAAGAAGGCACUGCUUUCUGCAGCUCUUGCCUCACAGUAGUGAUAAAUUUGGUUCAUUGCCUCCCCUUUUGGAAUAAAUAAUUUAUUUUUUUUUGUCUCAUUCUCUUUCUUUUAAUGGUUAGCUUUUAGUCUCCUGCAUCUCCCAUUAAUUGAUAUGAAGCCUGAACUUUAGCAGUUCCAUAUGAGAGAAAAGUGCUGGAAAACUUAGGAAAGAUUUGUGCUAAUACUGAAUAUUUCUCUUUUUAAAAAUAGGUAAUAAGUAGGAAGUAAAUUAUCCUGCCUUUGAGCCUAGAAAAAAAACUUAAUGCUUGGGUUAAGUGCAUUUUCUUUCUGUACAUGUAGAAAGUGAAUAAUGGCCUAAACAGUGAAUACUGUCAUGUAGAUUGAAUCUAUUACUAAAGUACUUGUGCUACUGCAGCUAUAGGAGGUGGGGUGAAUGCAGCAUUUUAGUUAUUUUCUGCAGUUGUUCAUGCUGCCUCUUGUUUGGAAUGGAAAAUGAAGUAUUUCUCAUGUUUUUGGGGGGGCAGGUGGAGUGGCCUCAGUUACUUUUAAUGGCUGUUCAUUAGACAAUUUGUAUUUUUUUUUUCUAGGUGGACUUUUAUUAGUCAAUGAAUUGAGCUGAAUUUAAUUUUGCAUGGCAAAUGAACAGCAGCAACUGCUUUUAUCUGUACAGCAUCUAUCACAGUGUGUCCACUGUUACUGUUCUUGGACCACAAAGACAUAAGUAACAAUAAUUGCUCUGCUUACAGCCCUUGUGUUUUCACAGUGUCUCUGCCUCCUUAUCUGGGUGUGGAAGUAAUAGCACAAAUUUUAUGUUGUCUGACUGAGAGGUAGAGGCAAAACAUGGAUAUCCUGGAUCCUGUAUUUGCAAAAAAGGCUACUUACAUGGCUGAGGUAUCAGUGUGAGACAAGGGGUGCACUCACAGUAGAUUAGAUCUUGCAGAAAGCAAGGAAAUGCAAAAGAAAACCUGCGUAAAUGUGCACAGUAUAUAGUGAGGAAGUCUAAUUCAUGACAACUGAUACAUGGAAAAUUGCCUUUGGCAGUAUUGCAUGGACAAACUUAGGAAGCACUUUCCUUGAAUAUAAAAUAUGGAUACUGCUUUCCCCCAGGACUGAGGCUGGUCUGUUUGUCUGGUUUUGGGGUACAGUUCUACUCUGCAAAGAACGUGUAGAAGGAGAGGGAGAAGAAGUGGUUGUGUUUAUUAUUUUAAGACCUUUUGACAUUCAAGUCUGCUCAGUCAGUGGCUAUGGAAUUAUUUCUUCAGUGUCUCAGUGUCUUGAGCUUGCCCUUUGGUUUGGAGGGGACUGGCUACACUUUCUUCCUUUUUUUUGUGCAGCAGCCAUCACUGGCAAUGAAAGUAAACCUGCCAACUUAUGAAAUAUUUAUCAACACCAAUACACAGGUAUCAGCAGUAGAAUUUUUUCAGUCUCAUUCAGUUGCUUCAAAACAUUUGAAAUAUGAGGUGUGUGAAAUUCAGUAUUUUCUGACAUACCUGACCAAGUGCUGCAUAUUGAAGUGAGCACUGCACCCAAGUUCUCUCUGUAAAAAAAAUACAGUAAAAAUGUACAAUGUGUCUAUUCUGUCCAUAUAACAGAUUUUUUUAAAUUUAUUUUUGCAUAGCCUCAAGGGAUGUUUUCUGUUGGAUAGAGUUCCAGUAGUUGCAGCUGUGUUGGGGUACAUCAGACCCAGUAGAACCCCAUGGAAUAUUACUUAGCCUUGUCCUUUCCCUGGCUGCCACAUAGACAUUCCUUAUGGUGACCCUUUAGAGCAGAGUACCUGGGGAUGCCUGCUUGGGACACCCAGUGCCAUUUCUAGCUCCUCAUGAACUGAGGUUUUUCUAUUUCCUUUGGGCACAAGGAUCUUUGGGUGCCUUUUAAUCUGCCUCUCAAAACUGGCAGGAGCAGCAGACCAAGAGGGUGGGACACACAUCAAGAGAAGUAAAUUGAGUUCAGGCUCCUUUGCGUGACGUCGUGGAGCCAUCUGUACGAUAAAAGCAUAAAAAUAAUCUGUACCAAUAAGAGCAUUAAAAUGGGCAAUAAUCUAAAAGUACAGUUCUAUUUCAGAAAGUGGUAAUCUAAAAUUGUCAAUUUUUCAAUCCAGCAGGUCUAUUCCAAUGAGCAUUGAAAUAUAACUUGCUAAAUCUAAUGCCAAAAAGUACUGAUUUACAGUAUUGCAGGACUAUCUGAUUUUUUCCCCUACUUUAUCAUCUGUGAAACAGUCUAUUAAGUUUCUGUUGUUUGUAACCAUUUGAAAUUCUUUCACUUAGAAAUUUUCAAGUUAUAUGCAUAACCAUUUCCCUGUGCAGUUCUUGCUUUUGAUAUUGAUCCAUUUAUGAUAGACAAAUCAUUUCCUUCAAGGAAAUCAAAGAGAGAGCAUUGUUAAUACUGAAAUAAAAAUAAAUAGGGUUUUUUAAAAUUGAGCUUUUUCUGAAUUUUUAAAAUCUCAUUAUCAAUGCAAUCAGGUGAGUAUUAGGAGUAAUUUGAAUAUUAAAUGUAUCCUUCCAGUGCAACCAAAUCAAGUAUACAUUUUCUGUAAAUAUUCAAGUUCUUCUUGUAAAAACAGCCUAAUUCUCUUUAUCUCUGGUCAGAAUUUGGUAGAAUCAGUUUCUCCCAAAUGAUGUAGUUUAAUUCCAUCUAAAUUUUUUAAAUAAAAUUUCUUUUAGUGAAUUCCACAAGGGAAAUUAGGAUAAGAGAAUGCUUGAAAGAAGUAUUUUCCCUUAGACAGUUAAAAUGUGAUUUCACAUAUUUUAAUUAGCAUUCCCAUUUUUCAUAUCCAAUUUCUCGAGCUCCUCUUCUGUGAUUGUUUCCUUUCCCCAAGUAUUUCUAAUCCUUGACUCUUUUUAAUUUUAAUUAAGAAUUAACCAAAUUCUAAGCUAUUAAAUCCUUCUUAAACCUUUAUUAUUUUUUGGCUUUGGUAGGUUUCUUGCUGACAAACAGCAUUUUUUUUUUUAAUUGCAGGGAUCUGUUUAAUUUGAAAAACAGGUUUUACACAAAAAUAAAACUGUUUUCUCGGAUAUUGGGGUGGAGAUUUUUAUGCAAUGUAUGAUUAAAAGGCUUGGUUUUGAGACUGAAGCUAAAAGAGCACCAUUUCUGGGGACUUCUCAAAAUGGAAAAAAUUAGUGUUUCACUGGUAAGGUUUGUAAAGAGAAAAGGGAGAAAUGGGCAUGAGCCCAGAGGAAAAAGGCCAGAAGACUUUGUUAUAAUGUCAGAAUAUUUUAAAUGCAGAGACUAAAUGAGCUUGUCAGUCAGGACUUGCAUGUCCAAUUCUAAAAUAUGGUUAUAAUUGUUUGCAUUUUCCACUUUGCUUUUUCUCUCCAUACUGAGUGUUCAGAAAUACCUGCUUUCCCUCCCCUGGAAAUUAAGGCCUUUUGUGCCAUAUUCUCAGAAUUGGCACUGAGGCUUUGCUCCAGUGUUUACAAAACAAAGCUGGGUAUGGAAUGAAUGGGAAAUGGAAAUUAACUUACUCUGUGUAGCAAUUUUUGUAUCAGUGACUUGAAAAGUUUGGCAUAGAUAUUAAUGAAAAGAAUAGUGCACUCUCUUUUAGAUUUCUGGAAAUAUCUCUGAUUUAAAAGAAGGCUGCUUUUUAUAUUCUUUUUUUCUUUUUUUUUUCUCUCUCUUUUUACUCCCCACCCCCUGGUUGUAUUAGAUCUUGUCCAGAUACUUAAUAGAAAUUACUUGUGUGUUCCCAGGUAACAAAUUACAUCUGUCUCUGAAAAUGAGGCAAUGUAAUCAUGACAAAUUCAUGAAAUAAAGGGAAAAUGUAUUGCUGCAGUCUUGGGGAACAUGAGUCAAUAUACUUUAUGUAAUUAUUUAAUAAAACAUAUUUUAUAGUGCAUUGAAGCAGCCCAAGAUACUGAGGCAGUUGUAUUUAUUCAGGAAUAAACAAACUUCCAGUAAAAGCUGGUGACCAGAAGUAUGCAAUUAUGCAUUUCCAGAAAUACUCAUUAAACCAGUCUGCUUAAAUUUUAAUCAGACUUCUAUGUAUGAAACAGUUUUGGUAAGAGGAAGUAGAAAAAAAAAAAUUAUUUUUAUGGUAGGCUAUUCAGAUCUUCUCAUGCUCCAAAUGGGUUUGAAUUUUUUAUUUUGCUUCUUGUGCAAAUCUGUAUAAAAGUUAACAAUACCAAGUCCUGCAUGCUGGCUUAAUUCUGUUUCAUGGGAGCCAUAAUUUUUUCAGCACAGAAAUACUGCAUUGAUAUCAAAGCUGUC